AUUUUGCAAGUUAUUAUAAAUUUUGAAUUUUUUUGCAAAAUUUUUAGAUUUUUUAUUUUUUAAUUUUUAUUUCUUGCCAAAUUUGGGGAUUUAAAAAUAAAUUAAUAAAACUUUUAAGGGAAAUUUUUAAGGAAUUUUUUCCUGAAGAUUUUGCAAACUUUUUUAAAAUCUGAGGCUUUUUUUGCAGAAUUUUGGGAUUUUUAAAAAAUAUUUAUUUCUUGCCAAAUUUGGGGAUUUAAAAAAAACUUUUAAGGGAAACUUUUAAGGAGUUUUCUUCCUAAAGGUUUUGCAAAAUGUUUUAAAUUUGGAGAAUUAUUUUUGCUGAAUUUUUGGAUUUUUUUAGGCAAGGAAACAAAAUUUUUUUGGUGCCAUGAAUGAGGACAACAGGAAGGUUAAGUCCCCUAAGCUUGACAAUCCUGGUAAAAUAGAGCUUCAAAUAAGUUUUCCAGCUAAUUUUAAGAUCUCAGUAUUCUAAAUAUCAGAUCUUAUUUCCAGAAGUCUUACCAAGACAUUUUCACUUGUUCUAUUGGCAGAUUUUUUUCACUUAUUUCAAAGUUAAAGUUCCUUGAAAUAAGUUUUUUUUUUCUUGUUUUGAGAGGAGCAUUUUUUCCAGUGGAGCCGAGCAGGUCAAAGCUUUUUAUUCACAUUAUAGUUCAUGGUUGAAAACACCCAGUUGUUUCUGCUGCUUCAUGUGUCUUCUAUGUCCAUGUUUAUUGAAGUGAUCAGUGAUUGGCGCCCUCUGGUGGAGCUGAUGCAGGACUGAACAGGAGAGAAUGUUCCAGAAGGAGAUUUCAUGUGGAGAAGAACACAUGCACAUUGAUGGAGAAGAUGUGAACCUCCAGAACAUCUGUUCUCCUCCUGAACUAUUGUGAGGAGCUUUAGGGACACAAUCAUGAAUGGUUGCUAACAAACAACGUUCAACCUGUCUGUGAAUACAAUUCUAUCAAGUUUGCUCUCUUUAUGCACAACAAACAUCUGGAAUUUAUGUGGAAUCCUAGAAUGAGAACUGCUGAGUUUUAGACACACAGAUGUAGAUUUUUGAAGGCUGCUCUGAGUUUGAAACUUUUCUUUUCCUCCUUAAUCAAACGCUCAAAUAGAAGUUCCUUCAGACUGUCUCAGAUUCUCAUGUUAUAAACUGAUGAACCCCUGAGAAGUUCAUUUAUUUCAAGCUG